GUCGGAGAGUCACUCAGUCAUGUAGCCAAACUAAGAAGAGGUCACACUGAACUGACCUCUAGGAACCAGAAUGUACCAGUUAAGGAGGAUCACCGGGUCUGCCCCACCAUUGUUUGGACUAUAAUCAGGACCAAGCCUGGGAAUACCCAUUAGGAGGGGAUGCCUACCCUGGAACAAUGCUCCACAUCAUUUCCAUCAAGUUUAAGGAAGGAGGUGGGAAGUAAUAAAGCAACAAGUCUGAGUACAGCAAAUGUUUAAAAUUCACUGAGUAUUAAACUGAACAGACUCAAGGAUGCAUAAUUAUAUUUUGGGAUGAUGCUGAGCUUCCAGAUGAGACUAGAUAAAGAUCUCAAGUGCUGGACAGAGAGGUGGAGAGUCUGAAGAAGUCUAACUGUGUCUCUCUCACAGUGGACCUAUCUAUGCACUGCCACUGGGGGUUGGGAGGAAGGGGAUGGAAAUUAAACUCCCCAGAUAGGCUUGUGUAUUCCAGAUCAGCGACUAAAGAUCACUGCUCCUUGGUGGAGCCCAUAAAGAAAAGCCCUCCUGAACUUCUAAGAACUUUGGUAGAAAUGCCUAUGUUACAUAAAAACAGAGAAAACAUCUCCCUCAAAGUUCUCAAGUGCUGUGGUGGAGUGGCUACAUCUUCCUAUUCAUCCCCAUCUGAGGCCUGAAAGUGAGAAAAACCUGGCACUGCCGGGACCUUGUUAGUUUAAGGAAGAUGGCAUCAACGUUUGGAUCUCAUCUCUAGAAACUCAGUAGUCACAUUCAUGUCUUUUGCAGUGCUUUCCAAAAAAUUUGGCCCACAAGCUACAAGAAAGACAUUUUACAGUGUGGUUCAAGACAUAAAAAAUAUUCAAAAAGAAACAUUUGUGAUAUGGGUUUAUGUUUUCUUUUCUUUCUUAUUCUUUCAUUUGAAAGCGUCUGGUUUGAUCAACAAAACUGAUAUCAUAGAAUGAAAUCAAUAUUUGUAAAACAUUGGUACUUUCUAACCCCCUUCCUCGCCCAUGGAAGAAAAACGAA